UCUCCGUAGGUGAACCUGCGGAGGGAUCAUUACAGAGUUCAUGCCCUACCGGGUAGAUCUCCCACCCUAUGUUAUUAUUACUAUGUUGCUUUGGGGGGCCGUUAGGCUCCGGCCCGACUACCGGCCCCGGCUGGUAAGCGCCCGCCAGAGGACCCAAAACCCUGAAUAUUAGUGUCGUCUGAGUACUAUAUAAUAGUUAAAACUUUCAACAACGGAUCUCUUGGUUCUG
rnacentral:misc_RNA from 1 species